GCCGGGUCUCUAGCGAAGGCCUGUAACUCAUGCGAGGGCUUUAAGAUGGUUGAAGACUGAAUUGUUUCAGAGGGUUGGUCAAUGUUUGGAGUACUUAUCUGGCUUGCCCAAUCCAAGUAGGGAGUUGGGUCAUGGACCAUCGGCCCAGGCCUUCUGUUCCUGGUCUUUAGAGAGGACGGCACCGUGUGAGGCUGGUUUCACAGAGCAGCAAGCACCUCCCGCUCCUGUCGGUGGAAGGAUCACAAGCCAGUUCUCCACUUGGCCAUCAAUACCUGAUGAACCAUUCAUCCAAACAACCAUUUUU
rnacentral:SRP_RNA from 1 species